AUUGAACGCUGGCGGCAUGCCUUACACAUGCAAGUCGAACGGCAGCACGGGAGCAAUCCUGGUGGCGAGUGGCGAACGGGUGAGUAAUAUAUCGGAACGUGCCCAGUCGUGGGGGAUAACGCAGCGAAAGCUGUGCUAAUACCGCAUACGAUCUAUGGAUGAAAGCGGGGGAUCGCAAGACCUCGCGCGAUUGGAGCGGCCGAUAUCAGAUUAGCUAGUUGGUGAGGUAAAGGCUCACCAAGGCGACGAUCUGUAGCUGGUCUGAGAGGACGACCAGCCAAACUGGAACUGAGACACGGUCCAGACUCCUACGGGAGGCAGCAGUGGGGAAUUUUGGACAAUGGGCGAAAGCCUGAUCCAGCAAUGCCGCGUGCAGGAUGAAGGCCUUCGGGUUGUAAGCUGCUUUUGUACGGAACGAAACGGUGAGCUCUAAUACAGUUUGCUAAUGACGGUACCGUAAGAAUAAGCACCGGCUAACUACGUGCCAGCCGCCGCGGUAAAAC
rnacentral:rRNA from 1 species